rnacentral:rRNA from 1 species
GCGCGCAAAUUACCCAAUCCCGAUACGGGGAGGUAGUGACAAUAAAUAACAAUACAGGGCUUUUCAGUCUUGUAAUUGGAAUGAGUACAAUUUAAAUCUCUUAACGAGGAACAAUUGGAGGGCAAGUCUGGUGCCAGCAGCCGCGGUAAUUCCAGCUCCAAUAGCGUAUAUUAAAGUUGUUGCAGUUAAAAAGCUCGUAGUUGAAUUUUAGGCCCGGUUGGACGGUCUGCCUUUGGGUUUGUACUGUCCUGACUGGGCCUUACCUUCUGGUGAGCUGUCGUGUUGUUUACUCAGCGCGGCAGGGAACCAGGACUUUUACUUUGAAAAAAUUAGAGUGUUUAAAGCAGGCAUUCGCUUGAAUACAUUAGCAUGGAAUAAUAGAAUAGGACUUUGGUUCUAUUUUGUUGGUUUCUAGGACCGAAGUAAUGAUUAAUAGGGAUAGUCGGGGGCGUCAGUAUUCAAUUGUCAGAGGUGAAAUUCUUGGAUUUAUUGAAGACUAACUACUGCGAAAGCAUUCGCCAAGGAUGUUUUCAUUAAUCAGUGAACGAAAGUUAGGGGAUCGAAGACGAUCAGAUACCGUCGUAGUCUUAACCAUAAACUAUGCCGACUAGGGAUCGGACGGUGGUUUUUUUAUGCCCCGUUCGGCACCUUACGAGAAAUCAAAGUUUUUGGGCUCGGG